UACGGGGGGGGGCAAGCGUUGUUCGGAAUUACUGGGCGUAAAGGGCUCGUAGGCGGCCAACUAAGUCAGACGUGAAAUCCCUCGGCUUAACCGGGGAACUGCGUCUGAUACUGGAUGGCUUGAGUGUGGGAGAGGAAUGCGGAAUUCCAGGUGUAGCGGUGAAAUGCGUAGAUAUCUGGAGGAACACCGGUGGCGAAGGCGGCAUUCUGGACCAUUACUGACGCUGAGGAGCGAAAGCCAGGGGAGCAAACGGG
rnacentral:rRNA from 1 species